AGUGAACGCUGGCGGUAGGCCUAACACAUGCAAGUCGAACGGCAGCACAGUAAGAGCUUGCUCUUACGGGUGGCGAGUGGCGGACGGGUGAGGAAUACAUCGGAAUCUACUUUUUCGUGGGGGAUAACGUAGGGAAACUUACGCUAAUACCGCAUACGACCUACGGGUGAAAGCAGGGGAUCUUCGGACCUUGCGCGAUUGAAUGAGCCGAUGUCGGAUUAGCUAGUUGGCGGGGUAAAGGCCCACCAAGGCGACGAUCCGUAGCUGGUCUGAGAGGAUGAUCAGCCACACUGGAACUGAGACACGGUCCAGACUCCUACGGGAGGGCGCAGUGGGGAAUAUUGGACAAUGGGCGCAAGCCUGAUCCAGCCAUACCGCGUGGGUGAAGAAGGCCUUCGGGUUGUAAAGCCCUUUUGUUGGGAAAGAAAAGCAGCAGGUUAAUACCCCGCUGUCCUGACGGUACCCAAAGAAUAAGCACCGGCUAACUUCGUG
rnacentral:rRNA from 1 species